rnacentral:rRNA from 1 species
GACGAACGCUGGCGGCGUGCCUAAUACAUGCAAGUCGAGCGCAGGAAGUCGACGGAACCCUUCGGGGGGAAGUCGACGGAAUGAGCGGCGGACGGGUGAGUAACACGUAAAGAACCUGCCCUCAGGUCUGGGAUAACCACGAGAAAUCGGGGCUAAUACCGGAUGGGUCAUCGGACCGCAUGGUCCGAGGAUGAAAGGCGCUCCGGUGUCGCCUGGGGAUGGCUUUGCGGUGCAUUAGCUAGUUGGUGGGGUAAUGGCCCACCAAGGCGACGAUGCAUAGCCGACCUGGGAGGGUGAUCGGCCACACUGGGACUGAGACACGGCCCAGACUCCUACGGGAGGCAGCAGUAGGGAAUCUUCCACAAUGGACGAAAGUCUGAUGGAGCAACGCCGCGUGAACGAUGAAGGCCUUCGGGUCGUAAGGCUCUGUUGUUAGGGAAGAACAAGUAUCGGAGUAACUGCCGGUACCUUGACGGUACCUAACCAGAAAGCCACGGCUAACUACGUGCCAGCCGCCGCAGUAAAAC